AAGACAUAUUUCCGGGCCCUCUUCACUACAGAGCCCUCCAACGCCUACAGGCGUCAUACCUCAGGGGCGGCGUCUCAUACAAGGAUAUCGUGACACUAGACGCGAAAGAGGAACUCCACUGGUGGCUCCUACAAAUGGAGGCGUGGAAUGGCAGGGCUCCAGAUGUAGUCAUAGAAUCAGAUGCAAGUUCUUAAGGAUGGG